rfam:Glarea lozoyensis 74030 unplaced genomic scaffold M7I_scaffold26, whole genome shotgun sequence.
GGCACUUUGGCGGAGUGGUUAACGCGAUGGCCUGCUAUUGUUACAAGCAAAGCAUUCAGCCAUUUCCUUCGGGAGCGAGUGUUCGAAUCACUCAGGUGUCG